AGCGAACGCUGGCGGCAGGCCUAACACAUGCAAGUCGAACGAAGUCUUCGGACUUAGUGGCGGACGGGUGAGUAACACGUGGGAACGUACCUUUUGGUUCGGAACAACUCAGGGAAACUUGAGCUAAUACCGGAUGAGCCCUUAGGGGGAAAGAUUUAUCGCCGAAAGAGCGGCCCGCGUUAGAUUAGCUAGUUGGUGAGGUAAAGGCUAACCAAGGCUACGAUCUAUAGCUGGUCUGAGAGGAUGAUCAGCCACACUGGGACUGAGACACGGCCCAGACUCCUACGGGAGGCAGCAGUGGGGAAUCUUGCGCAAUGGGCGAAAGCCUGACGCAGCCAUGCCGCGUGAAUGAUGAAGGUCUUAGGAUUGUAAAAUUCUUUUACCAGGGACGAUAAUGACGAUACCUGGAGAAAAAGCCCCGGCUAACUUCGUGCCAGCCGCCGCAGUAAAAC
rnacentral:rRNA from 1 species